rnacentral:tRNA from 2 species
UGGUGUGGUAUGCAAGAGGCUAUAAGCAGGCGGUCCUGAAAACCGUCAUCCGGUCUUCCGGCUCGUGGGUUCGAAUCCCACCCACACCGU